rnacentral:rRNA from 1 species
AUUGAACGCUGGCGGAAUGCUUUACACAUGCAAGUCGAACGGCAGCACGGACUUCGGUCUGGUGGCGAGUGGCGAACGGGUGAGUAAUAUAUCGGAACGUGCCCAGUCGUGGGGAUAACGUAGCGAAAGUUACGCUAAUACCGCAUACGAUCUAAGGAUGAAAGCGGGGGAUCGCAAGACCUCGCGCGAUUGGAGCGGCCGAUAUCAGAUUAGGUAGUUGGUGGGGUAAAGGCUCACCAAGCCAACGAUCUGUAGCUGGUCUGAGAGGACGACCAGCCACACUGGAACUGAGACACGGUCCAGACUCCUACGGGAGGCAGCAGUGGGGAAUUUUGGACAAUGGACGCAAGUCUGAUCCAGCCAUUCCGCGUGCAGGAUGAAGGCCCUCGGGUUGUAAACUGCUUUUGUACGGAACGAAACGGUGAGCUCUAAUACAGUUUGCUAAUGACGGUACCGUAAGAAUAAGCACCGGCUAACUACGUGCCAGCAGCCG